rnacentral:rRNA from 1 species
AUUGAACGCUGGCGGCAUGCCUUACACAUGCAAGUCGAACGGCAGCGCGUCCUUCGGGAUGGCGGCGAGUGGCGAACGGGUGAGUAAAGCAUCGGAACGUGCCCGGUAGUGCGGGAUAGCUCGGCGAAAGCCGGAUUAAUAACCGCAUGAGAUCUGCGGAUGAAAGCAGGGGACCCGAAAGGGCCUUGCGCUACUGGAGCGGCCGAUGUCAGAUUAGGUAGUUGGUGAGGUAAAGGCUCACCAAGCCUGCGAUCUGUAGCUGGUCUGAGAGGAUGAUCAGCCACAUCGGGACUGAGACACGGCCCGAACUCCUACGGGAGGCAGCAGUGGGGAAUUUUGGACAAUGGGCGCAAGCCUGAUCCAGCCAUGCCGCGUGCAGGAUGAAGGCCUUCGGGUUGUAAACCUGCUUUUAGUACGGUAACGAAAAGGUCUCUUUCUAAUAAAGGGAGUUGAUGACGGUACCGUAAGAAUAAGCACCGCUAACUACGU